AUUGAACGCUGGCGGCAGGCCUAACACAUGCAAGUCGAACGGUAACACGAAGAAACUUGCUUCUUUGCUGAGGAGUGGCGGACAGGGGUGUAAUGUCCGGCAAACUGUAUGAUGGCGUGGGGGAACAACUGGAAAAAGUAACUAUUACAGCAUAUAGUCGCUACACCAAAAAGGAGGGCCUUCGGGCCCCUUGCGCUAGUAUAUGCGCAUAUGGGAUUAGCUAGUAGGUGGGGGAAAGGCUCACACAGGCGACGCUCCCUAGAUGGUCUGUGAGGAUGACCAGCCACACUGGAACUGAGACACGGUCCAGACUCCUACGGGAGGCGGCAGUGGGGAAUAUUGCACAAUGGGCGCAAGCCUGAUGCAGCCAUACCGCGUGUGUGAAGAAGGCCUUCGGGUUGUAAAAUACUUUUCUCGGGGAGGAAAGGAGUAAAGUUAAUACCUUUGAGGUCUGACGUAACCCAAAGAAUAAGCACCGGCUAACUCCGUG
rnacentral:rRNA from 1 species